rnacentral:rRNA from 1 species
GACGGAGGAUGCAAGUGUUAUCCGGAAUCACUGGGCGUAAAGCGUCUGUAGGUGGUUUAAAAAGUCCACUGUUAAAGAUUGAAGCUUAACUUCAAAAAUGCCGUGGAAACUUUGAAACUUGAGUAUGAUAGGGGUAGAGGGAAUUUCCAGUGGAGCGGUGAAAUGCGUAGGAUAAUUGGAAAGACCACCAAUGGCGAAGGCAACUCUACUGGGCCAUUACUGACACUGAGAGACGAAAGCUAGGGGAGCAAAUGGG